rnacentral:rRNA from 1 species
CAGUGGGGAAUAUUGGACAAUGGGCGAAAGCCUGAUCCAGCCAUGCCGCGUGUGUGAAGAAGGUCUUCGGAUUGUAAAGCACUUUAAGUUGGGAGGAAGGGUUGUAACCUAAUACGUUGCAAUCUUGACGUUACCGACAGAAUAAGCACCGGCUAACUCUGUGCCAGCAGCCGCGGUAAUACAGAGGGUGCAAGCGUUAAUCGGAAUUACUGGGCGUAAAGCGCGCGUAGGUGGUUCGUUAAGUUGGAUGUGAAAUCCCCGGGCUCAACCUGGGAACUGCAUUCAAAACUGACGAGCUAGAGUAUGGUAGAGGGUGGUGGAAUUUCCUGUGUAGCGGUGAAAUGCGUAGAUAUAGGAAGGAACACCAGUGGCGAAGGCGACCACCUGGACUGAUACUGACACUGAGGUGCGAAAGCGUGGGGAGCAAACAGGAUUAGA